UUUUUUUUUAUUUUUUGUCCAAUUUUUGACCUUCAUAUUUGCACUUAUAAUAGGCUGGCUCGGGUAUUGGUGGAAUGCUUAGUGCAGUUCACGGUUUCAAUACAGGGAUUACAUUCCUUCAAAAUCGUCUCAAGGGACCAAAAUGGCUGCCUUUUCUUGUGGGGCUUCCUCCCCUGCUAGUGGUUUCGGGUGCAAGUGCUGCAUUUGGAGGUAAGAAUAGAAUAUAGAUUACUGAGAUUUAAGGAAUGCAAUGUCAUUCUUAGCAUGCAAUAUGAAACUUGGUUUUAUGUUCUUGAUUUUAUGAGAGUAGUCUCUUGCCUUUUGCACAUUAUAAACUCUUGGAACCUUGAUGAGAGGUGCCAACAACUUUGGCCCCCGCUUACUGACAGGUGCAGUUACUUCCAGAAAAACAGUGUGGUAACUGUACAUUAAUUUUUUCAAAAAAAUUCCUGGGUCUUCUAUAGCAUCUCAUAAAUGGCCAUUGAAAUUAUGCAGUUGUAGUUCAACAAUUUGGGUACUGUCAAUGUAUAGCCACAAUUUCCAGGCUCAAAACAUGUGCUAUGUUUGUACUAUGAUCUUAAUUCACUACAUCCUUGCAAAAGACCCUUCUUUUGGCAUU